UAACUGGGCGUAAAGGGCACGCAGGCGGUGACUUAAGUGAGGUGUGAAAGCCCCGGGCUUAACCUGGGAAUUGCAUUUCAUACUGGGUCGCUAGAGUACUUUAGGGAGGGGUAGAAUUCCACGUGUAGCGGUGAAAUGCGUAGAGAUGUGGAGGAAUACCGAAGGCGAAGGCAGCCCCUUGGGAAUGUACUGACGCUCAUGUGCGAAAGCGUGGGGAGCAAACAGGAUUAGAUACCCUGGUAGUCCACGCUGUAAACGAUGUCGAUUUGAGGGUUGAGCUUUGAGCUUGGCGCCCGUAGCUAACGUGAUAAAUCGACCGCCUGGGGAGUACGGCCGCAAGGUUAAAACUCAAAUGAAUUGACGGGGGCCCGCACAAGCGGUGGAGCAUGUGGUUUAAUUCGAUGCAACGCGAAGAACCUUACCUACUCUUGACAUCCAGAGAACAUUCCAGAGAUGGAUUGGUGCCUUCGGGAACUCUGAGACAGGUGCUGCAUGGCUGUCGUCAGCUCGUGUCGUGAG
rnacentral:rRNA from 1 species